rnacentral:rRNA from 1 species
UACGGAAGGUCCGGGCGUUAUCCGGAUUUAUUGGGUUUAAAGGGAGCGUAGGCCGGAGAUUAAGCGUGUUGUGAAAUGUAGAUGCUCAACAUCUGAACUGCAGCGCGAACUGGUUUCCUUGAGUACGCAUAAAGUGGGCGGAAUUCGUGGUGUAGCGGUGAAAUGCUUAGAUAUCACGAAGAACUCCGAUUGCGAAGGCAGCUCAUUGGGGCGCAACUGACGCUGAAGCUCGAAAGCGCGGGUAUCGAACAGG